AUACUUACCUGGCAGGGGAGAUACCAUGAUCAAGAAGGUGGUUUUCCCAGGGCGAGGCUUAUCCAUUGCACUCCGGAUGUGCUGACCCCUGCGAUUUCCCCAAAUGUGGGAAACUCGACUGCAUAAUUUGUGGUAGUGGGGGACUGCGUUCGCGCUCUCCCCUG
ensembl:snRNA U1 U1 spliceosomal RNA